rnacentral:rRNA from 1 species
GGAAAAGAAAAUAACAAUGAUUUCCCUAGUAACGGCGAGUGAAGAGGAAAGAGCUCAAAGUUGGAACCUGUUUGGCUUAGCUAAACCGGAUUGUAAACUGUAGAAACGUUUUCCUGGCACGCCAGAUAAAUAAGUCCUUUGGAACAGGGCAUCAUAGAGGGUGAGAAUCCCGUCUUUGGUCUGAGCUGUUGUCUUUUGUGAUACGUUUUCAAAGAGUCAGGUUGUUUGGGAAUGCAGCCUAAAUUGGGUGGUAAAUCUCACCUAAAGCUAAAUAUUUGCGAGAGACCGAUAGCGAACAAGUACCGUGAGGGAAAGAUGAAAAGAACUUUGAAAAGAGAGUUAAACAGUAUGUGAAAUUGUUAAAAGGGAACCGUUUGGAGCCAGACUGGCUUGAUCGUAAUCAAUCUAGGUUUCGACCUGGAUGCACUUGCGGUCUAUGCCUGCCAACGACAGUUCUUUCUGAAGGAUAAAACUAGGAGGAAUGUGGCCCCUCGGGGUGUUAUAGCCUCUUAGAUAAUACUUUGGAUGGGACUGAGGAACGCAGUGAAUGCUUAUGGCGAAAUUGCUAGGCGCUUUUGUUGAUAGAUGUUAGAAUUUCUACUUCGGGUAGUGCUGAUGUCUAAAGGUAAAACUCGUUUGGUUAAUUUUCUAUUCACUUAGGUUGUUGGCUUAAUGACUCUAAAU